AAACAGGUGCUAAUACCGCAUAACCAUAGUUACCGCAUGGUAACUAUGUAAAAGGUGGCUAUGCUACCGCUUUUGGAUGGGCCCGCGACGCAUUAGCUAGUUGGUGGGGUAAAGGCUUACCAAGGCAAUGAUGCGUAGCCGAACUGAGAGGUUGAUCGGCCACAUUGGGACUGAGACACGGCCCAAACUCCUACGGGAGGCAGCAGUAGGGAAUCUUCCACAAUGGGCGAAAGCCUGAUGGAGCAACGCCGCGUGGGUGAAGAAGGUCUUCGGAUCGUAAAACCCUGUUGUUAGAGAAGAAAGUGCGUGAGAGUAACUGUUCACGUUUCGACGGUAUCUAACCAGAAAGCCACGGCUAACUACGUGCCAGCAGCCGCGGUAAUACGUAGGUGGCAAGCGUUAUCCGGAUUUAUUGGGCGUAAAGAGAACGCAGGCGGUCUUUUAAGUCUGAUGUGAAAGCCUUCGGCUUAACCGGAGUAGUGCAUUGGAAACUGGGAGACUUGAGUGCAGAAGAGGAGAGUGGAACUCCAUGUGUAGCGGUGAAAUGCGUAGAUAUAUGGAAGAACACCAGUGGCGAAAGCGGCUCUCUGGUCUGUAACUGACGCUGAGGUUCGAAAGCGUGGGUAGCAAACAGGAUUAGAUACCCUGGUAGUCCACGCCGUAAACGAUGAAUGAUAAGUGUUGGAG
rnacentral:rRNA from 1 species